CACGUAGGGCGCAAGCGUUGUUCGGAUUCAUUGGGCGUAAAGGGUGCGUAGGCGGCGCGGUAAGUCGGGUGUGAAAUCUCGGGGCUUAACUCCGAAACUGCAUUCGAUACUGCCGUGCUUGAGGACUGGAGAGGAGACUGGAAUUUACGGUGUAGCGGUGAAAUGCGUAGAUAUCGUAAGGAAGACCAGUGGCGAAGGCGGGUCUCUGGACAGUUCCUGACGCUGAGGCACGAAGGUCAGGGGAGCAAACGGG
rnacentral:rRNA from 1 species